rnacentral:lncRNA from 1 species
AUGAUGUGGGUUGUUGUGAGUGGUGAUAUUAUGUCACUUGAACUAAAUUAUAUUAUUGUUUUCUGAAUUGAUGGUUUUAAUGUAAUUCCCUGAACUAAAUUCUAUCAGGAAUUACUAUGAUUUUAUUGAUUGUUUUGAUGAAAUUCCCUGAAUUAAACUCUAUGCAGGGAUCACUGAUUUUACUUAAUUCCUAUUGUGAAUAUAGUUGUGCUUUGGGAUUAGUAGUGAGUGUGAAAUGAGUAGUGAUGCCUUAAUUUUAGCGAAUGAUUUAUGUUGUGAGGCAAUGAGUGAAAUUUCGUGGUUGUGCCGUUGAGGCAAAUGAAUGAUGAUUUGAGAGAUUGU